GCCGGCGUGGCGGAAUGGCAGACGCAGCAGACUCAAAAUCUGCCAAGGGCAACCUUGUGUGAGUUCAAGUCUCACCGCCGGCA
rnacentral:tRNA from 1 species